rnacentral:misc_RNA from 1 species
UCCAACUUAUCGCUGGCGGUCUCCUGAGAGUGCCCAACUAAAUGGUGGCAACUAAAGACAAGGGUUGCGCUCGUUGCGGGACUUAACCCAACAUCUCACGACACGAGCUGACGACAGCCAUGCAGCACCUGUGUGGAAAGCUCCAUUGCUGGAGAAGCACGAUCUCUCAUGCAGUCUUUCCCAUGUCAAGCCUUGGUAAGGUUCUUCGCGUUGCGUCGAAUUAAACCACAUGCCCCACCGCUUGUGCGGGCCCCCGUCAAUUCCUUUGAGUUUCAACCUUGCGGUCGUACUCCCCAGGCGGGGUACUUCCUGCGUUAGCGCCGGCACCCAGAGGGUCGCUCCCCCAGGCACCUAGUACCCAUCGUUUACGGCGUGGACUAC